CAGUGCGAAACUCAGCAUCCGCCGUUUGUUUGCGUGUGGUAGAAAAUUGAAUUUCAAUUUACAAGCAAAAACAAGAUGGAGAUGAACAUGUAAUAUGCGAGAACCACCCAAUCCCAAUUGCGUUGGUAUGUCAGCUUCAUAAAAGACCAUCCCCAACUGCUACAAGGAAAGAACUGCCCCACAGCGCCACAUCUCAUCGCAGAUAUGUGGCUGGAGAUCGCGACAAAUUUAAACGCUAUGGUGGGGCCCACUAGAAGCUCCGAUGCUUGGAGAGAGAGCCUGCGAAAUUGGCGCAAGCAGUUGAGGUCACGUGCGCGCAAAGUGAUUGCCGAGCGGAAUAAGACGGGUGGAGGGCAGAACCCAGUGUCGGAGCUAACAGAGUUCGAGCAGCAAGCCCUAGAAGCAUG